GACGAACGCUGGCGGCGUGCUUAACACAUGCAAGUCGAACGGAAAGGCCCUGCUUUUGUGGGGUUCUCGUUUGCCGAACGCGUGUGUAUCACGUGUGUAUCCUGCCCUUGACUUUGGGAUAUCUUUUGGAAACUGCGGCUCUUAUCCCAUAUGAUCUCCUGCUGCAUGGUGUUGGUUGGUAAGUUUCGGCGGUUGUGUAUGGACUCGCUGCUUAUCAGCUUGUUUGUGGGGUAGUUGCUUACCAAGGCUUUGACGGGUAGCCGGCCUGAGAGGGUGACCGGCGACAUUGGGACUGAGAUACGGACCAGAAUGCUACGGGAGGCAGCAGUGGGGAAUAUUGCACAAUGGGCGGAAGCCUGAUGCAGAAACGCCGCGUGCGGGAUGACGGCCUUCGGGUUGUAAACCGAUUUGGAAUGUGACGAAGCGUGAGUGACGGUAAUGGGUAAAGAAGCACCGGCUAACUACGUG
rnacentral:rRNA from 1 species